rnacentral:rRNA from 1 species
UAGGGAAUCUUCGGCAAUGGGGGGAACCCUGACCGAGCAACGCCGCGUGAGUGAAGAAGGUUUUCGGAUCGUAAAGCUCUGUUGUUAAGGAAGAACGAGUGUGAGAAUGGAAAGUUCAUGCUGUGACGGUACUUAACCAGAAAGGGACGGCUAACUACGUGCCAGCAGCCGCGGUAAUACGUAGGUGGCAAGCGUUGUCCGGAUUUAUUGGGCGUAAAGCGAGCGCAGGCGGUCAAUUAAGUCUGAUGUGAAAGCCCCCGGCUCAACCGGGGAGGGUCAUUGGAAACUGGUUGACUUGAGUGCAGAAGAGGAGAGUGGAAUUCCAUGUGUAGCGGUGAAAUGCGUAGAUAUAUGGAGGAAUACCGGUGGCGAAGGCGACUUUCUGGCCAUAAUCUGACGCUGAGGUACGAAAGCGUGGGUAGCAAACAGG